GACGAACGCUGGCGGCGUGCCUAAUACAUGCAAGUCGAGCGGACCAAAGGGAGCUUGCUCCUGGAGGUCAGCGGCGAACGGGUGAGUAACACGUGGGCAACCUGCCUGUAAGACUGGGAUAACAUCGAGAAAUCGGUGCUAAUACCGGAUAAUAAAAAGAACUGCAUGGUUCUUUUUUGAAAGAUGGUUUCGGCUAUCACUUACAGAUGGGCCCGCGGCGCAUUAGCUAGUUGGUGAGGUAACGGCUCACCAAGGCAACGAUGCGUAGCCGACCUGAGAGGGUGAUCGGCCACACUGGGACUGAGACACGGCCCAGACUCCUACGGGAGGCAGCAGUAGGGAAUCUUCCGCAAUGGACGAAAGUCUGACGGAGCAACGCCGCGUGAGUGAUGAAGGUUUCGGAUCGUAAAACUCUGUUGUUAGGGAAGAACAAGUGCCGUUCGAAAGGGCGGCACCUUGACGGUACCUAACGAGAAAGCCACGGCUAACUACGUGCCAGCAGCCGCGGUAAA
rnacentral:rRNA from 1 species